rnacentral:rRNA from 1 species
UACGUAGGGUCCGAGCGUUGUCCGGAAUUACUGGGCGUAAAGAGCUCGUAGGUGGUUUGUCGCGUUGUUCGUGAAAACUCACAGCUCAACUGUGGGCGUGCGGGCGAUACGGGCAGACUAGAGUACUGCAGGGGAGACUGGAAUUCCUGGUGUAGCGGUGGAAUGCGCAGAUAUCAGGAGGAACACCGGUGGCGAAAGCGGCUUCCUGGUCCAGCACCGACGUUUCAGGCACGAAAGCGUGGGUAGCAAACAGG